GACGAACGCUGGCGGCGUGCUUAACACAUGCAAGUCGAACGGAAAGGCCCUGCUUGCGGGGUACUCGAGUGGCGAACGGGUGAGUAACACGUGGGUGAUCUGCCCUGCACUUCGGGAUAAGCCUGGGAAACUGGGUCUAAUACCGGAUAGGAGCCAUUUUUAGUGUGAUGGUUGGAAAGUUUUUUCGGUGUAGGACGAGCUCGCGGCCUAUCAGCUUGUUGGUGGGGUAAUGGCCUACCAAGGCGGCGACGGGUAGCCGGCCUGAGAGGGUGGACGGCCACAUUGGGACUGAGAUACGGCCCAGACUCCUACGGGAGGCAGCAGUGGGGAAUAUUGCACAAUGGGCGCAAGCCUGAUGCAGCGACGCCGCGUGGGGGAUGACGGCCUUCGGGUUGUAAACUCCUUUCGCUAGGGACGAAGCUUUUUGUGACGGUACCUAGAGAAGAAGCACCGGCUAACUACGUG
rnacentral:rRNA from 1 species